UAAGGUGGUAAGAGGUUAUUAAAAAGUAACAGACAAGAACAAAAGUGAAAUAAGUAAUGAACAUAAACAAAUGAACGAUAUACGAUGGAACCACACAACAUUCGUUGCUGUAUAGUCCUGGCGUCACAUGAUCAUAAAUUGGUCAACCAGGGGACGGUGUCUCUGCGUCGCUGUGCUGCGUAGUUACAAUCUGGAAGAGGUGCAUGUCAAGGCUGUGCGGGCCACCGAGGAACUGUCCGAAGUGACGGCGUAGGUAGUGAA